rnacentral:rRNA from 1 species
UGUUGUUUAGUUGAGAAUCAAUUAAAUAAUUUUUGAUCUUGAGUAGUAUUGACUUCAUCAGCUUGCUGCUCUCUUUUCGGAAAUUAUUUAAUGCACUUUUCAGUUAACAAGUCAACAUCAAUUUCUUUUGUUGUAAAAGGGUAAGAGGAAGGUGGCUUACAUUUCGGUGUAAGUGUUUAUAGCCUUUUACCUCUGCAAUCGGAGAGAUUGAGGUCAGCAGCGUAGACUCUUCGGGGUUAGAUACACUUGUGCUAAGCUAUAGCCUUGUAUAGACAACUUGUUGACUAUGCUCAGUCAUGUAGCUUACUCGCUUGUAGUAUUUUACCUAC